rnacentral:lncRNA from 1 species
UUUUCCUUUGGGGAAUUUCUGCCAGCUUGGAAGACACAUUGCAGAACUAUGUCCUGGCAUUACACUGAAAGAAAUGAGAAGUCAUCACAGCAGAUGAAGAUUCAUUAUGAAGUUGACAAUUGGAGAUUCACCCCGAUGCCGGCAGAGCUCUGCCACAGCACAACCUUUCUAUCUCACAGUGACUCUGAGCUGAAUAUCCUCCCACUCGCUUGCCCCGCUGGAAAUUUGAAAUACCGAAAUUGGAGCAGCUUGCUCCUGUCUCCCCGACUCUUCUCCUCCCCCCAGAUAUGCUAAGCCCCCACCCCAGCCAGACAAUGGAACACCAAAAGCCCAGGGAAGCGAGCUCCUCCCCUGGAAUGAGAAACAGCUCGUGCGCUGCUCACUUACAGCGGAAUAUCAGCGCAGUGCGCCAGAACAGCAGGAGCGGGCCUUGGGACUGAGUCCAGGAAGGCAAGUGUCAGACAGUUUGAAUGGCUCAGCCAGCUUUAUUUUGCCCGGCAUUCAGUCCGGUUUCUGGAGGGCGCUGAUGAAGCUGCGGCAACUCAUUAAUUACCUCGAGACCCGCAGGGAUUUUUGCUAAAGACAGAAAGCCAAUCGUGUUUGGGAGGCCGCCUGGUCAGACGGCCUCCCCACGUCAUCUUUGAUCGAAUCUGAUCAAUAACCUUGAGUUUGUCCUUCCCACAGCCCGGGAAGAUUAUGAGUAUGCUUAAGGUUCAUAAAAUACCAGGCUUCACAAAAACUUGGGGAAGAAAGGUUGUUCAAGUACCAUCUCCAUUGUAAAGAUAAGGAAACUGAGGCUACCGAAGUGUAGAUGACUUGUCAGGGGUCACAGAGGAAACAUUAGAACCCAGGUGUCCUGGCUCUAGGUCCAGUAUACAGGAAUUGGGUUAAGAGUCUGGGCUAUACUACUUACUAUGUGCCCUAUGGUAAAUUACUUCAUCUCUCUGGGUCUCAGUUUCCUCAUUUAUAAAUAAAAUGUGUGUGUGUGUGUGUGUGUGUGUGUGU